UUGUAAACCAAAGGAAAUUAUGAAUGACAUAGUAUAUUAUUAAACUUCAGUUCUUAAAGUUAUCAACUUUAUAUUAAAUAUAACUGCGAAAACGUGUUCAGCUGAAAUAACGCUUUAUUCUUCAAUUUAGAGAAAUUUUUGUGAAAAAUGAAUAGAGUUUUAUGAGAACAUGAACAUACAAUUAUCUGUAAAAGUCAUUUUGCUCGGUCUACAAUUUUAAAAAAGAAUUACAAAUGUUAAUCUUAAAGAAAAAGAAGAACUUGCACAGUGCAAAGUUGAUUUUAUUAAAUUCAAAACCGUAAAUAGAACUAGAUCUAUUGUUUUGAAAUCUGAAAUUUUCAUUUUUUUCAAAAUCGAAUAAUUAUUUUAUAUUUUUAUAUUGAAAAAUACGAAUAUACUUCGUACGAUAGGUGGGCCACUGUUGUAGGUUAAAAUUGGAGAAGGUAAG